CAGUCGCCGCGGUAAUACGUAGGUCCCGGGCGUUGUCCGGAUUUAUUGGGCGUAAAGCGAGCGCAGGCGGUUAGAUAAGUCUGAAGUUAAAGGCUGUGGCUUAACCAUAGUACGCUUUGAAAACUGUUUAACUUGAGUGCAAGAGGGGAGAGUGGAAUUCCAUGUGUAGCGGUGAAAUGCGUAGAUAUAUGGAGGAACACCGGUGGCGAAAGCGGCUCUCUGGCUUGUAACUGACGCUGAGGCUCGAAAGCGUGGGGAGCAAACAGGAUUAGAUACCCGUGUAGUCCCUGUCUCUUAUACA
rnacentral:rRNA from 1 species